rnacentral:rRNA from 1 species
GACGAACGCUGGCGGCGUGCUUAACACAUGCAAGUCGAACGGAAAGGCCCUGCUUUUGUGGGGUGCUCGAGUGGCGAACGGGUGAGUAACACGUGAGUAACCUGCCCUUGACUUUGGGAUAACUUCAGGAAACUGGGGCUAAUACCGGAUAGGAGCUCCUGCUGCAUGGUGGGGGUUGGAAAGUUUCGGCGGUUGGGGAUGGACUCGCGGCUUAUCAGCUUGUUGGUGGGGUAGUGGCUUACCAAGGCUUUGACGGGUAGCCGGCCUGAGAGGGUGACCGGCCACAUUGGGACUGAUAUACGGCCCAGACCCCCAGGGGGGGGAAGCGGGGGGAAUAUUGCACAAGGGGCGGAAGCCUGAGGCAGAAACCCCCCGGGCGGGAUGGCGCCCUUCGGGUUGUAACCCGUUUUCGCCGGUGACGAAGGGGGAGUGAGGGAAAUGGGAAAAGAAGCACCGGCUAACUACGG